AUGUCAUCAUUAUGCAUCAAGAAUUUUUGUACUGCGCGCCAAUAAUGGAUGAAGAGAGUGAAAAAUUAAAUUCACCGGUUACACAAUUGCUUGUAAGGUCCCGACUUGACUAAGAGCCCGAGUUUGCUGGCGGGGAAAAGGAAAAAUUCCGUCGUAUGGGGUAAGGUCCUCGACAAUAUGCGUUUUAUAAAUCCGGAAGUGUCGCAAACAAAAGAGUUUAUGCAAAGGAAAUUUUUAAAUUUGUUUGCGACGUAUAA